GGGGCCCUGACCCUCCUCUGGCGCGGCUCCGGAUUCACCUUCGGCCGCUACGAAAUGUAUUGGGUGUGACAGGCCCCGGGGAAGGGACUGGAAUGGGUCGCAGGGCUCAACACCGGUGGUGGCACUGGCUACACCGCGUCGGUUCGGGUCGAUUCACCAUCUCCAGGAACAACGGGCAGAGCUCGGUGACGCUGCAGAUGAACAGUCUCAAGGCCGAGGACUCAGGGACGUAUUUCUGUGCCAAAGCUGCUGGUACUGGUUAUACUG